CCCAGCACCUCCCCCUGGAAAUGCACCCCGCCCACCCGACCUUCCGGGGCCUUCCCCCAGCCCCCCAGGUCCCCAGCCAGGGGCCCUGACGGCCGCUGCCUUCCUUCCCUGAGCUAAAGGCGCUUCCAGCACCAGCCAGCAGGGGCGGACAGGAGGCCGACUUGGGCUUCGAAAUUAGACCUCCCUUCCAGACCAGCCCUGGUCCAGACUCAGCGCUGGGACUUGGGGACGCAGCCACCAUCCAACAACGAGAGUGAUCUUUCAAAACUGAAAACCAGAUCACCUAACUCCCCUCCCCCCAGCUGGUGGCUUCCCUCGACACUUGGAGUAAAAGGCAAAGCCCAUACCAAGCCGGUGCAGUCUGGAUGCCCUUCUCCACACUCCACCUUCAUCUCGGAUUGAAGAUGAGGAAACUGAGGCUGGGCAAGAGUAGAUACCCUGUCCAAGGCCACGUGGCUGCGAGGUGACAAAGCAAGGAUUCAAAUCCAGAGCCACACAUUUACCCACCAAGCUCUCCAAGAGCUGAUGAAGACAAGCCAUAGCAGGUCCCAGCUGACUAAGAACAACUUACAGAAGAAACAUUUAACCUGAAAAGUCUUAUCCAUUUCCCUGUCAUCCCAAAGUUUCACUCCUAAUCACAUUUCCCCACUGCAUUGCUGACCCCUCAGUCAACAGGAGUCAGCUGGAACCACAAACCACAACUGGCCUGUUUAAUUCAGUGUAGAGCAAGGUUUGAGGCCAAGAGUGAAAAACCGACUUCCAAAACCAACUGAUAGCACAGGUUGUUGAAGACCAACGCAUUUAGAGAGACUUUUCCUUGCUCAGACUUCAGGUGUGUAGAGUGAGUUUGCUGAGAUCCAUGAAUACCUUAAGGGAUCCCUACAGAUAGGAAGAGAUCCUGAGAGAAUUAGGGCAACAGCUGAAACCUUACUCAAGGGAUUCACAGGACUGCAGACCUGCGAGCCUGUCAAGUCAGUGAUUUGGGAGAAAGGCCAACACAAUUGUGCGAGUCCUAUCGCCCAAAUCAGCACUAGUCUUCACUUACUCAGGUGAAAUGAUUUUUCAGGUUUAUUAAGUGUAACGUGUAGGAAAGAACUUUUAAUCCUCAAAACCCAGCUUUACUGCAAAAGGCCUAAAUUAUUAAAUAUUCAGCAAAACACCCGACCUGCAAGCAGCAGUUUGAGGGGCAAGGAACCUAAUAAAACUUCAUGAAUUUUCUGAGCUAUGUCAGAGUUGACACUUGGAUUCCAGUCCUUGGUUUGCCUGGAACAAAAACCAGGCCUUGAGCAAGUCAAAACACUGGGACUGGGAAGGAUAUAACCUUCCAAUCUGACAGUGAAUAUAAUGUGUUCCCUUAAGUCUAAGGAAGGCUUUUUAAAGGCUUGAUGUUUCAUUACCA